GCUCAGAGCUCAGCCUGCAGCUCACACUGCUACCAGCUACCUGCCCUGAAUGGAUUCCUCAACUGUUAACAUGAAAAUUCCAGAUACCGCUAAUGAUACACCUUAACAUUGCAGGAGUUCCUUCACAGAUUUCACAGCAGAUGUUCUGAAGCUUUCUAGGGUUUAUUUUCUCAAAAAAUGAGAGCCCACUGCAAAUGUGAAGUAAAUUACUUGGAAAUUGCAGAAGAGCAGGGGAUGUGCAAGGAAGGAAUAACAGAAGAGUCAACUGAGGAAAGGUGUGCACUAGAGUGGAGCAGGCAAUGCCAUUAUUUUUUGAAUUACCUACUAGAAGGUUCACUAAAAGACCAGACAGAAGUCUUGGGCUUACAGCCGUGCACUGAAC